ACCAAUUCGAUCUGGUAAGCUUCAUCAGAGAGCUGGGAUCUAAUUUAGGUCUCUCUGUGAUGGGAGGGGGAAUAUAUGAAGCUUCUGAUGAGCACAAAGAAAUGUCUGCAGCAGCACAUCUCUCAGCAGAAGGAUUAGGGUGGUUGUCUAGCAGUGCCACUGCGGUCGUUGUAUACGAGUCGCCAGCAGAUGGAGCUAAUGGACCGUAGAAUAUGUUGAACAACUUGAUGUUGCACCCUGCGUGAAACCAGCCAGUCGCACUAAUUUAGGACUUGACGAAAGUUAAACUCGCUGGUUUAAUGUGGUUCAUUCGUUUUUGGAUGAUGCAAAACAUCGAACAAGACACGUGUGACUCAAGAUUGCAAUGACUGUACUUCGGUGGUGGCUGGUGUCGACCGAGGCAGCGGGUCAAGAUAUCCUGGUCAUCCCCCCGUCCCUCAGACAGAGGUGACCGUGGGGAUGGCCACAGCUCUGUCGCCGUCCUGGCGGCUGCCCCACGCCCUCCCCUGGCUGGGAAACCAUCAUCAUCACCACCAUCACCACCAUCAUCAUCACCACCAUCAUCAUCAUCAUCAUCAGACCGUUAGCCGCACGUCC
ensembl:lncRNA